UUUUAUUGAGAGUUUGAUCCUGGCUCAGGACGAACGCUGGCGGCGUGCCUAAUACAUGCAAGUCGAACGCACUUGUCUCAUCGGAGCUUGCUCCACCGAGACAAGUGAGUGGCGGACGGGUGAGUAACACGUGGGCAACCUGCCCAUCAGAGGGGGAUAACACUUGGAAACAGGUGCUAAUACCGCAUAAUUCCUAUUGCCGCAUGGCGACAGGAUAAAAGACGCUUCG
rnacentral:rRNA from 1 species